rnacentral:rRNA from 1 species
AUGUUGGGGGAGGAAGCCGUUGUAAUCAGGAAAGUAAUCGUACACAUGAUCGUCGAAGGACAUACUAGCAGUUACGCGAAUGCGCUCACCAAAAACAUCAUCGUCCAUCGUCCAUACAAGAUCACAAGAGGUCGGUCAAUCCCGAGGCAAAGUUGUGGCAGGGAAGACUUGCCACCAGGCAACGACGUGGAAGGGCGAAGGGUAAGUUGCAUCGCCUGCGACCGCAUCAGAUCGAUCGAGGGACAACAACCCCCUCUGCUACGCGCCACUUCGUAUAGGCCUGGGACGUGCGUAUGCAAGUACGACCUCGCAAGCGGCCUAUUUAGGGAAAAGGCUAGGGAAGGAAGCAAGGAUGGUUUCCCCCAAUUCCCCCCACCGCUGUACACUUCCCCCAAAUCCCACCGCUGUGCCGAGAGCGCCGCCACAUUGACCCAAACCAGCGGCGGCGCAGCUCGUCCAUUGUCCUGCUGCCGGUGCCCUGCUCAAGCCAUCGCCACUGCAGUAGGGCGCCGCUGCCACCGUUGCAGACUUGACCUCCCGCGGCCGCCGCCGCCGCGGCCGCCGGCGGGGCCGGGGGCUUUGACGGACCUGCCUUCCUCGACAGCUUCGGACGGAGGAGGCGGAGGGCUCCGUCGCCGCGACCCUCGCCCGACCUUGCCACCCUGGACGGAUUCUACCCUGCCUCCUCGACCAAGACCAACCCGCCUCAGCUGUAGACGCGUGCUUCAAGUUCAGAAAUCAGAACCAAGUUAUUCAACCACGUCUCUAGAAGAACAACGUAGUUGGAUGUACAGUGGGUGGAAUGAACAGGGGCACCAUUCUGAAGAGUGGGUGCGCAACACAACAACUUUUCUUGACCAUGCUUUUCAGAUUAUGCCUAAUGCUGACCGGUUUGGUGUGAAGUGCCCAUGCACAAAGUGUCGUAAUGGAGUCAGGUGGAAGAAACAACUAGUCAGAGUGCACCUUUGUCAGUAUGGUUUCAUGCCAAAUUACACCAGAUGGACAUCGCACGGCGAGUGUCCAAUAGUUGGUACAACCAGAAUGGAAGAGGAUACUCACACUAGUAAUGAACCGCUAGUUGAUAUGUUGGCUGACAUUAUUGGGGCUGAAACACAUUUUGAUGAUGUGGAGAGCGAGCCAACAACAUAUGCCAAGGAGUUCUACAAGAUGUUGUCUACUGCAGAGGAGGCACUGGUUAGAAUUACCUACUCUAAGAAAAAAUGUGAGAAAGCCAAAUGGUUUAGGCAUGAGGCUGAGUAUGAAGCAAGUGCAAAGCUCCAUAUUGGCAGGUGUUGCAACCAACUCAUGGCUAGUGUUCUGUACUAUGCUCGCAUACAGGCUGUAAGGGACCAUUAUUACAAACUUGAGAAUCGCAGACUGAAAGAAAAAUUCGCUGGACGACAUUAUCUUGAAAAACAUGAGUACAUGGCUGUCAGACCAUGGUGGUGCACUGUUGUUUCCUGGGAGGCCUUAGUUGAUGAAUGGUGUGAUGAUAAAUGGAUUGCGGCAUCUAAGAAAAAUCGUGAUAAUCGCCUCAACUCUAAGUACAAGGCCCAUAGAGGUGGAUCUAAUUCCUUGACAACAGUUUGCCAAAAACUGGAUUCAUACAAAGAGAAGGUUGUAAGCAUGCGUGGUGAGGACUAUGAUUGGAAGCAUUCUCCUAUUGAACCACAAGCCCUUUAUGAAGCUGGUGGUGGGAAGCCGCAUGGAAAGUGGCCACUAUUGAAUGGUGUUGUGGAGGGUAAAGAGGCUCUUAAGGAGACUACAGUGGAGAGUAGCCUUGGUGGUGUGCACAAGUUUCUAAUGACCAUCGCAUUCCUUCAAGGAAUUCCAGGGCCUGAGAUUCCAUGCAUUGUUAUACCCCCACCUCCAGCUUUUCCAACUUUAACCACUUCGUCUCCGAUCUUUUCUCCAGAAAUGCCCUCCACCGGCGAAUCAACAAAUGAUGCUGAAAAUAUAGAUAAUACAUUGCAUGGAGCGGAAGAUGGAAUGUUUGGCGGCUUCUUUGAUGCAAAUGGUAAUGAUGCGAAUGGUGUUGUUGCUGGAACUUUCCCCCCACCUGGUGAUGAUUUACCUACAUUUUGA